GGCCGGAUGCGGGAGACGUGGAGAAGACCUGUAGUCGCCCUGGCGGGUGUGCGGGGGUUCCCGCAGCUGGUUCCCUGGGGGCUGUGGUGUUUGCCCCUGUUGUGUCUCCUAAGGGUGCAGUGAUGAGCAUUGCCUUGACCCAAAGUGACGUCAGUAAAAUCUUUUAAUUUAGGAACUCAGGAAUAACCUUGAAAGAGUGUCAGCCUGAAAAAGAGAUGGGACGAGAGAUUAUGCUGAAAUACGUCCAGCAGGGCAAGUUCUGUCGUUUCACUUCCGCGUGGCACCUGAGGGAUCACUCGGAGGACAUUAGGAGAAGGAAAGGAAAAGAUUUCAUUUAACAGUACACCUGUGAAAGCAAGCUGAAAAUGCUGGAGAAUGGAGUUGGAGGCUGGAGGCCAGGAGCAGAAGAGACAGAGCUGCCAGAUCUCACUGCAUAAGGGACAUUUGAAGUCAAACCUCAGGAGUAAAAGCAGACCAAACCAGUCCUCAGAAGAUGUGGAGGAAGAGCUUUCCAAGCAAAGCUUGUGCAAAGUGCAAGCGCAGAGUCACUAGAAGUGAAACUAGGGUGUGUUCAAAAACUGAAGAGGGUUGGGUGUAGAAACUAAACAGUACAACUUACAAGUACACAAAACCAAAAUGUACAACUCCCUGAUAUAUCACAAAGCAAAUAUUCGUGAAAUGACCACCAAGGUAAGGUAAAAAAAUGGAACGUUGCCAAAACUCCAGAAGUUCCAUCUUGUGUCAACUCCAAUCAUCCCUACCAUGAUACCUAACCACAAAUCUUAACUUCCAUGUUAAUCUCUAUCUUACCUGUCGGAUUAAGUUUGUUGCCUAAACAUACAUACCUAAACUUCAACAUUUAGUUUUGCCUGUUUGAACUUCAUAUAAAUUGAAUAUGUUGUGCCUAGUUUCUUUGGAGAAACAUUGUUAGUAAGACAUGUUUUCAUGGGUACUUAUUAUUUUGUUUUCAUUGCUAUAUAUGUAGAUGUAGCUGUAGCACAUUUUAUUAUUUUUUUUUAAGAUUUUAUUUAUUUAUUUGACAGAGAUCACAAGUAGGCAGAGAGGCAGGCAGAGAGAGAGGAAGGGAAGCAGGCUCCCUGCUGAGCAGAGAGUCCAACUCGGGGCUUGAUCCCAGGACCCUGGGAUCAUGACCUGAUCUGAAGGCAGAGGCUUUAACCCACUGAGCCACCCAGGUGCCCCCACAUUUUCUUUAUCCAUUUUACUGUGGGCGUUUUGUUUUUGUUUUUAUUUAUUUAUUUUUUAAUGUAGGUACCAUGCCCAACAUGGGCCUUGAACUCACACCCUGAGAUUAAGAGUUGCGUGAUCAGGGUGCCUGGGUAGCUCAACUGGUUAAGUGCCUUGUCUGCCUUUGGCUCAGGUCAGUCCCAACAUCCUGAGAUGGAGCCCUGUGUUGGGCUCCAUGCUCAGCAGAGAGUCUCCUUUUCCCUCUCUUUUUGCCCCUCCCCCCACAAAUGAAUAAAUAAAAUCUUUAAAAAAAACAAAAAGACGGGGCACCUGGGUGGCUCAGUGAGUUAAGCCUCUGCCUUCGGUUCAGGUCAUAAUCUCAGGGUCCUGGGGUCAAGCCCCACGGGGGGGGGUCUCUGCUCAGCAGGGAGCCUGCUUCCCCCUCUCUCUCUGCCUGCUGCUCUGCCUCCUUGUGAUCUCUGUGUCAAGUAAAUAAAAUCUUUUUUUUUUAAGUUUUUUUUUUUUUUUAAUUUGUCAGAGAGAGAGAGCAAGCGAGAGCGAGCACAGGCAGACAGAGUGUGAGGCAGAGUCAGAGGGAGAAGCAGGCUCCCUGCGGAGCAAGGAGCCCGUUGUGGGACUCGAUUCCAGGACACUGGGAUCAUGACCCAAGCCAAAGGCAGCUGCUUAACCAACUGAGCCACCCAGGCGUCCCAAAUAAAUAAAAUCUUAAAAAAAAAAAAAAAAAAGAUAGCUGCAUGCUCUACAAACUGAGCCAGGCAGGCACCUGUCCAUUGUACUGUUGAUAGACAUUUGAUUGUUGCAGGUUCUUGGCUACUAUGAAAAUUCUACCCAAACAGUACACAUGUGCAUCAUUUCUGUUGGGUGUAUACCACACUGGAUAAUUUGGAAUUGUUUCAGCAAGUAUUCAUUCUCUCCCCCUUCUGCUGUUGACCAAAUUUACUUCUCUACUCCUUUGAUAACUGCUCUUGGCCAUGUGAAUAUUUUUGGCUGAUAGAAUAUUAGCAGACAUGAUAGGAGCAGUAGUCUUAAGUAUUCAUAUGUAGUUCAUUUAACUCUUGAGUUCCAGUAAUGUACACAAGGAGACCGUGUCUCAAAUAGCUAUGCCCCUUCAGCCUGGGCCUACAGAACAAACAUGUGGAGCAGAUGUGAAUCCAACCUGUGGCAUAAACAAACCCACCUUAGAUUUACAGAAAGACCUCCUGAAAAUUGAUGAGUAUGAGAAUUAAUGCUGUUGUCCUAAGUCACUGAAUUUGAGGUGUUUAUUAUGCAGCAUUAUUGUGGCAAUAAAAAAGACCUAAGUUCAACUUCAGUAGAUAAUAUCAAAUUUUUGCAAAUUGGCUUUACCAAGUUACAUUCCCACAAGCAACAUAUGAAAAGUCUAAUUGCCCUACAUUUUUGGCAACACUUUCAGUUACUCUGGAGGGUGUGGUAUGGCUUCAAUUUGCGUGACCUCCAAGUUUGUUCUUUUUCAUAUAUGUUUUGGAUAUUCUAAGUCUUCUGAAUUUUCACAUAAAUUUUAUAAUUAAUUUAUUUUCUGUCUAAAAAAAACGCUACAGUUUGGUUUGGGCUUGUGUUGAAAAUAUAGAUCAAUUUAGGGAGAAUUACCAUCUUAAUAUUCCAUCUUCAGAUUCAUGAACAUGAUAUAUCUACUUAAGUCUUUUUAAAAUUUCUCUAGGCAAUAUUUAACGCUUAAAAUGUACAGGUGCUAUGCACAUUGUCAUAUUUAUCUCUUUACAUUUUUGAUGGCAUUUAAAAAUACAUUACAAUGGCUUGUUGCUGAUACAUAGAAAUACAAUUGGUAUUUCCACAUUAGCUUUUUACCUGCAACUUGCUGAACUCACUUAUUAGAUCUGAUAGCUAUUAGUGUGUAUAUGUAUUUUUUUUAAUUUUCUAAGACCUACAUACUGACUGCAAAUAAUAAUACUUUUCUUUGUUUCCAAUCUGUAAUAUCCUUGUUACAUUAAGGCCUAUAAUACAAUGAGGAAUAGAAGAGAUAAGAACAAACAUCUUUAUAUAUCACUGAAAUUAGAGGAAAGGCAUUCAGUUUUUGUCCAUUAAGCAUAAUGUUGGCUUUAAUGUUUUAUAUCCUUCUUUAGGUUGAGAAUUUUCCCUUUUAUUCCUAGCUUUUGAGAGCUUUUAUUAUCAAUAAGUGCUGAAUUUUGUCUGCCUCUGUUGGAGAUUAUAUAGUUUUCUUUUUUAAUCUAUUAAUUUGGUGAAUUACAGUAAUUGAUUUUCAAAUGUUAAGCCAACCUUGAAUUCCUGGUAUAAACCAAUUUAAAUUAGGAUGCAUCAUUCUCUUUAUAUAUUACUGGACAUGAUUUUCAGAUAUUUUGUUAAGAAUUUUGACAUUUACAUUGGGACGCCUGGGUGGCUCAUUUGGUUAAGCAGCUGCCUUCAGCUCAGGUCGUGAUCCCAGCGUCCUGGGAUCGAGUCCCACAUCGGGCUCCUUGCUCAGCGGGGAGCCUGCUUCUCCCUCUGCCUCUGCCUGCCAUUCUGUCUGCCUGUGCUCACUCUUUCCCCGUCUCUCUCUCUGAUAAAUAAAUAAAAUCUUAAAAAAAAAAAAAAGAAUUUUGGCAUUUACAUUCAUGAGGGAUAUUGGUCUCUAGAUUUUACUUUUCUUGUAAUAUCUUAGUUUUGUUAUUGGGUGACUCUAGCUCACAGAAUUACUUGAUAAGUAUUCCUUCCUCUUUUAAUUUCCAAAAUACAUUGAUUAAAAUUGCUAAUAUUUCUUGCAAAAAUAUUUAAUAGAAUUAACUAGUGAAGUCAUCAGGGUCUGUUUUUUCUUUAUAAAAAGGCUUUUAAGUAUAAUUUUUUACUAUUAAUAUAUUAAUAUACCAAUAAUAUGAUUACUAUAUAUAGUAUGCUAGUAUACUAAUAGAUAUUAAGAAUAUCUAUUUCAGAGGAAGAUAGCUUUACCAAUAUGACUGUCAUACCAGGAUGACUAUUGGUACACCCAAAGCUAUGUCUCCCCGAGAAGGAAUAACAGAAGCUUCACACUUUGUGUGUGGGGAAAUAGGUAUCACUAAAAUAAUCCAGCAAGUCACUAAACAAAUAAGCAAAUAAUAGUAACAAGACCCAAAGGGAGGAGGAAAGACCAAUACACAGAAUUGAAGAAACAUUCUAUCUAAAAGAUAGUAGUUUUCAACCAAAAAUUAUGAGAUGUGAAAAGAAAUAGGAAAGUAUGACCUAGACACACAAAAAAACAAGCAACAAAACUACUAUGAGAGUGACUAAUGUUGGCUUUAACAGAGACUACAAGUAGCCAUUAUAAAUGUGUUCAACAAACUAAAGGAAAGUAUGAUAAAAGAAAUAGAUACGAUGACAGUGUCACGUGAAAUAGAGAAUACCAAUAAAAAUAAAUUAUCUUAAAAGAGCCAAAUGGAGAAUGUGGAAUUGACAAGUACAGUACUGAUAUUAAAAAAAAAAAAAAACACACACUAGAGGGGCUCAACAAUAUAUUUGAACUGGAGAAAGAAUAAGCAAAUUUGAAGAUAGGUCAAUAGACACUAUGUAAGCUAAAAAAAACAAACAAAAAAACCAGAAAAAAAGAA